GUCCAAAUGGCAAGAUAGGAGUAGAUGUAGGGGAGGAAUCAGAGAAUCCUUCCCAUAGGAGGUAGAAUUUGAAUUGUAUUUUAAAGGGUGGAAUUAAAUUUAAAAGAUAGCAGGAAUGAUUAAGAAAGUUCAGGAAUAGGGAAGGUUAUGGGAGCAAACAUAUUGGAGCUAUGAAGAUAAGGAAAAUUGAGCCAGAGAGGUGAAGCAACUUUUCCAUGAUUAUACAACAGGAUGCUGGUGAUGUAUUGAAUAGAAGUUCUUUCUCUGGAUGUGGAUAGCGUUGUUUCACAGAAGUCCCAUUGGGUGGUUCUGGAUCAUUGCAUUGCUGAUUUGAGAAAAGUCCUUUACAUUUUAUUGUACUACAGUGUUUCAGUUGUUGUGUACAAUGUUCUCCUGGUUCUGCUCUUUUCACU
rnacentral:lncRNA from 1 species